GCUUGCUGCUGCCUUGGAAGCCUAGGUGUUUCUCUUAGGCAACAAUUACCUUCCUCAGGGCUUUCACCUGGGGGCCACCCUCUUAACUCCCUGCCCACAUAGCUAGGGAGAGCAAUCAAGGGGAGUAGCAGUCCCCUGCCCAAGUGGCAGUAGAAGCAAGCAGCUCCCUGGUGUUUUUACCCCUGGGAGGGAGGGGAAGGAAGAUUACUCUUCUAAACCUAUUAACUUUACUCCUAGCCAGUACAUACCAGGGUAGUGCCACCUAUAGACAGGAAGUAGAUUUGCAACCAAAUUAAUAAUUCAAUUUUUUUAAAUGGCCCACUCUAUGAAAGAGCAAUGCAUUACCAAAGUUUUAGGAUGUCUUUUCUUACUAUCAUUCCUGGGAGUACUGAUACCAAUUGGAUACUUUGAAAUUUAUCCAUUCUUCCCCAAGAAGAAACAACUGAAAUAUAUCUUGAGUGAUCUCAAGACUCAAGGGAGAUUCUACUCAGUCUCUGCAACACAUCCAAUAUGGGGUUUGUCCACACUAUGCUCAGUUUGGAAAUUGGCCCCUGUAUGGGGAACCCCAGAAGUGUAACCAAAGGAAUCUAGAUGGAUGAUGAUACUUGGGAGGGGAAGGAACCUUAAAGAGUCUGGAGGUGAAUUUUAAGCCUUUUCAGACUCCAUUUGCCUUACUGAUGUUAACUGUUUCAGUUUGUUCUCCUGCAAAUAAUGAAGAAGUCUCUAUAACAAAGCUAUCAGAAUUGGAGAAAGGGACUCUUGAAUUUAGUGCCUGUAUCCUGCCAUGCUUAUUGUAUUUGCUAAUUUGUUUGCUUUAAAAUUCAAUUUUUUUUAAGUUCACAUAUUAAUCUGGAUGGUUUUUAUAUUUGUAACUUUUUUUCUCUCAUUUUUUGUACUUGAAGCACAUGUUACCAGUAUUAAUGGGUUUUUUAAUUUUGUACUAGGAUAAGUUUAAAAUGUCCGUUAGCCCUAAUGUCAAUACAUACCCCAAACCUUUAGACUAUGGAAACCUGCCAUUGAUUGUUAAAUAUUAUAGGACUUUGAUUAAUGAUUGUGUCUGAUUCCAGGAGCAGGGAUCAAAAAUAGCCACUGCACAGUGCCAAGGAGCACAAAGUUAAUCUACACAGUGCCAAGGAGCACAAGGUCAAGGAGACCAACCAAUCCUGGUGGGAUUGAUGAGAUUCUGCGCCAAGACAGGGGACUUGAACUUAUUUUGGAGUUAGAGGAAGAGGCUGUUUGACAACUUCAGAUGCAAGAUUCCCUCUGCCAGAUCCAGACUUCUACAAAGUACCUCAGUUUGGCUGUCAUUUUGUCCCCACUAUCCCUGAGAGCAAAGGUAAAAUCAGACCAAAGGUAAAAUGCUAUUUCCCUUCUGCUUCAAAAUCUCAUCCAUUUUCUCUCUUUCAUAGUGUGGCAAUUUUCUGUAGUCCUGGCUGCUAAUUGGGAAUGAUUCCUUUGUGUCUCCAAUAUUUCAUCUUUGAAGGACUCUCAUCCCACCUGGGCUGAUUUCCUUUCCUGAAAUUUAGACUGUGGAAUCCUACCUCUCCUUCUGGUGACCAUUCUGAAAUCUACUCUCCUCAGUUCUAGUGUAAAGAUGAAAAGGAUGCUUAUUUCAUAAAUAAUGAUGAGGAAGCCCUCAUGAGACAAUGAAUUUGAUUUUAUUAAUAAAGUUGAGGAAAUUAUCAAUAAGAGAAGCCAAGAAGUUAUUAGUUGAGAGACCUUCUAGGAGCUGCACCAAGAUGGAAGACUCGAGGAAGCCAAGAUCUCCCAAUAUUCUCCUCCAAACCACUUUAAAAUAAUGCCUUAAAUUGAAUUGUGUAAUAGCAGAAGCAACAAAAGGUCAAUGGCAGAGCCAAUAAUAGUUCACAUUUUUCCACUGCAACAUAACUUAGAAGAUCAAAAAGAGAAAACAUUGGGAUGGGAGCUGGCCUGGAUUUCAUGUGAUGGCAUCACCAACUGUAACAGGCCUUAGAAUCUACAAUAGCGGCAGCAGCAGGAGCAGUUUGGGGAGCUCUCAAGUCAAAGGUGGUAAUGGGAUUGGGCAACUGGUUAGAAAGAGAUUAUAGGGGGCCCCUGUGCUUGUACUGAACAUACAUCCUGGAUACUUUUUGGCAACUCCAUUGCCUAUACCAUCUUCCAGGUUGCAGUUCCAGGGUGGGAAGGAGCACUUCCAGUCACAAGGUAUCAGCAGCCACAAGGAGCAAUAGUAUUUGUGGCUGUAAGAGAUCAGAGACUCUUCUUGGGUAAAAACCAGAAGAACAGUGACUACACAUCUCUUUGGAUCAUACCACAUUAGAAGCACUGAAAACUCCCAAGCUCCUGGAAUUAACUGAAAAAAGCAAGGCAAAAAAAAAUCCUGAAGCUAAGGAUUGUGCCCUCUCUCCCGCCUCACUCCCAUCCCAGGAACAGACCCCAACUUUAACACAAAAUUAAAAGUAAAGAAAUAGGCUAGAAAAUGAACAAAAAUAAAAAAUGAGAACUUGAUCAUAAAAAGCUACCAUGGUGACAGAAAAGAUCAAGACACAAACUUAGAAGACAAUGAUGCCAAAAUAGCUACAACUAAAGCCUCAAAGGGAGGAGGGGUGGAUUUGAAUUUGAUAGAAGCCAAACAAGAAUAUCUAGAAAAGUUAUGUCAUUUUAAAAAGAAAAUUAGAAUGGUAGAGGAAAAAUUGGAGAAAUAAAUGAGAACAAUGUAAAAAUUAUGAAAAGACAAUUAUCUUGAUAAAAGAAAAAUAACAUCUUAAAAAUAUAAUUGGCCAAAUGGAAAAAGAGGUACAAAAUUUCACUGAUGAAAAUAGCUUUCUAAAAAAUGGAAAAGAGAUACAAAAGCUUACUACAGAAAAUAAUUAUUUUAAAAUUAGAGUUGGAUAAGUGGAACCUAAUGAUUCUGUGAGACAUCAAGAAGCAAUAAAAUAAAGUCAAAAGAAUAAAAAAAUAAAAGAAAAUGUGAAAUGUCAAGAAAACAAUGGACCUAGAAAAUAGAUUGAAGAGAGUUAAUUUAAAGAAUUAUUGGUCUACCUGAAAGCCAUGAUCAUAGAAAGUGCCUUGAUAUCAUAUUUCAAGAAAUUAUGAAGGAAAUCUGCACUCUAAUUCUAGAACCAAAAGGUAAAACAGAAGUUGGAAGAAUCUGCUGAUCAUCUCCUAAAAGAGAUUUCCAUAUGAAAAUUUGCAGUAAUGCUAUAGCCAAAUUACAGAACUCCUAGGUAAAAGAGAAAAUAUUAUAAGCAGCUAGAAAAAAAACAUUCAAAUACCAUAGAGUCAUAGUCAGGAUCCCACAAGAUUUAGCAGCUACCACAAUGAAGAAGGAGAGGGCUUAGAUAUGACAUUCUGGAAAGCAAAGGAGCUUGGAUUAUAACCAAGAAUAACCUAACAAAACUGAAUCUAAUCCUUCAAGGGAAAAAAUAAACUUAAUGAAAAAGAGGACUUUCAAGCAUUCCUGAUGAAAAGACCAAAGCUGAAUAGAAAAUUUGAAUCAAGAGAAGCAUAAAAAUGUAAACAUGAAGAAGAAAUCACAAGGGACUCAAUAAAGCUAAAAAGUUUGCAUUUUGAUUAGAGAAGAUGUAACAACUCUGAAAAACCUUUUAAUUAUUAAGGUAGUUAGAAGGACUCUUCAAAGACAGAGGGCAUGGGAAUGAGUUAAUUAUAUUGGCAUAGUCUUAAAAACCAUGUUAUUAGCUGUUUUCCUUUUGCCAGAUAGUGGGAACUGUCUCCUUCUCAAUGAUAAUGCAGGUUUCAUGCACUGGGUGGGGACUUAGUUCAGGCCUCCAAAUUACCAACUUUGGGAUUUCAUUAUUCUAUAAAUUCUUACAAUGUAAGAUACUGAUCUGAAGAUGGAAUAAAUGUCCUCAAAAGGCACUAAACAAUGCAUUUUAGACCGGGAAAGGGCACAAAAAGAUGAACUAAUUUUCUCUUAAUCUAGAUUAAAGUUCAUUUCAAAUAUUUUCUCCAUGAAGGCUUCCUUGAUAUUCUAGUUUUUUUCUUGAAGUCCUAAUUUCAGGUAUCCAUUAAUAAGUUACUAAACUUUUAAAGAGAUCUAUACAUUUCUAACUUUUGUGUGUUGUCUUCUGACUUUCAUGUUCUUUUCAUAAACUUUAACUUGAUGAGAAAAUAUGAAACAAUACAAAAUGAAGUGAGUAGAACCAAGAAAACAAUAUACACACAAUGAUUAGAACAAUAUAAGUGAAGACUUGUUCAAGAAUAUUCAUAGCUGCGCUCUUUGUGGUGGCCAAAAAUUGGAAAAUGAGGGGAUGCCCUUCAAUUGGGGAAUGGCUGAACAAAUUGUGGUAUAUGUUGGUGAUGGAAUACUAUUGUGCUAAAAGGAAUAAUAAAGUGGAGGAAUUCCAUGGAGACUGGAACGACCUCCAAGAAGUGAUGCAGAGCGAAAGGAGCAGAACCAGGAAAAUAUUGUACACAGAGACUGAUACAUUGUGGUACAAUCGAAGGUAAUGGACUUCUCCACUAGUGUCAAUGCAAUGUCCCUGAACAAUCUGCAGGGAUCUAAAAAACACUAUCCACAAGCAGAGGAUAAACUAUGAGAGUAAAAACACCGAGGAAAAGCAACUGCUUGACUACAGGGGGGAAGGGGAUACCACUGAGGAGAGACUCUAAAUGAACACUCUAAUGCAUAUACCAACAACAUGGAAAUGGGUUCGAACCAAGAACACAUGUGAUACCCAGUGGAAUCGUGUGUCGGCUAUGGGAGAGGUGGUGGGAAGGGGGUGGGGGGGAGGAAAAGAAAAUGAUCUUUGUUUCCAAUGAAUAAUGUUUGGAAAUGACCAAAUAAAAUAAUGUUUAAAGUGAAAAAAAAAAGAACAAUAUAAGUGAAAAGAACAAGAAAAUCUAAACCAAAUGCUAUAAAAUUAAAAUAAUCAAGCUUGACCCCAAAGAAAAGAUAUGAAAAUGCACCACCCUUCCUUCUGUGUGGAGAUAGGGGACUUUUGGUUCAUAACAUAACAUAUAAUGUCAGGUUUGGUUGAUGGAAAAUCAGUUUUACUGAUUUUUUUCAAAUUCUUUGUGAUAAAGGAAGGCUCUCCAGGAGAAAGGGGUAUGAAAAGGAGAAAUAGAUCAGUAAGUGUAGGUGAUAUAAAAACAAAAGAUAUCAAUAAAAUUUCAUAAAAGAAGUUUUCAAUUCAAUAGUAAACUAAAAGCAAGUACCUUUUCUUUUUUAAACUUUUCUUUUUUCUAUUUUAAUAUAUUUUGUUGGAUAUUUCCCAAUUACAAGUAAACUUUUUUAACAUUGUUUUAAAUUUUGAAGUCUAAAUUCUCUUCCACCUUCUUUGAGAAGGCAAGCAAUUUGAUAUCAAGCAUACAUGUGCAGUCAUGCAAAACACAUUUCUAUAUUAGCCAUGUUAAACUUUAAAUAAUUUCUAAAUACUGAAAGAUGCUUAAUAAAUGUUUGUCAUUUUCAUUGAAACAAAGGGGUACUCACUUGUUAUUCCAGCAACAUCCUGCACCACUACAAGCAGGUAGUUAUUGUGGUAAAAAAUAUGUUGUGAAUCUCUCUUUCCCACGAAAUUAUUGUAGCCACAAAAUUAACUAGAAAGAAUGAGACAAGUAGUCUUUGUUGUUUCAGCGAUUGAAAGGGGAAAAAAUAGCAUCAAAAGCAAAGGAGAUCAAAACUUAGAUUUAAAAAGUGAAUGAAAACAAUUCAGGUGGUACUCCUCUCCAGGUCAUCAUUGAAAAUAGAACUUUAAUUCAGCAUAAUGAAGUCAAUGGGGUCCACCUCUUUAAAUUUAGGCCUGAUUAAGCUGUCUCAUUCUAGGUGGGGAGAUAGUUGGAUUGAAAGUUAUAAAACUUCGUCCUUAUGCCCAACUUAACCACUAAUUCUUGCCUUAUACAAGAUACUCCAUGUCUUUGGGCCUCCAUUUUUUUUUUCUGUAAAAAGAAUGAGUUAGACCAAAUGAUCUCUGAGGUACCUUCAAGCUCAGGAAUCCACAAAAACAUUUCCAGGUUUAAUAAAUCAUGCAGAUCCAUUUGGUAGGUAGUAUAAGAAAUUUUUUCCACCUUAUUUCACAAAUAAGAAAAUUAAGUCUGAGAGACUUCCCCAUAUUCACAUUUGUAUCAAGGUGAGAAUUCAAACCUAUUCCUUGUAUUUAAAACCAAUAUCAGGAGCAGGGAGGGAAGAAGGGAAGGAGACAACAAGAAUCAUGUAACCAUGGGAAAAAAUUUUUUUAAUUAAAUAAA